AUACGUAGGGAGCGAGCGUUGUCCGGAAUUACUGGGCGUAAAGGGCGCGUAGGCGGCGCUUCAAGUCGUCUGUCAAAUGGAAGGGCUUAACCCUUUUUCGCAGACGAAACUGGAGAGCUUGAGAAGCAGAGAGGCAAACAGAAUUCCUGGGGUAGCGGGGAAAUGCGUAGAUAUCAGGAAGAAUACCAGUGGCGAAGGCGGUUUGCUGGCGGAAUACUGACGCUGAAGCGCGAAAGCCAGGGGAGCAAACGGGACUAGAUACCCCGGGAGUCCUGGCAGUAAACGAUGUAUGCUGGGUGUGAGACUAGCGAUAGUUUCGUGCCGAAGUUAACGCGAUAAGCAUACCGCCUGGGGAGUACGGUCGCAAGAUUGAAACUCAAAUGAAUUGGCGGGG
rnacentral:rRNA from 1 species